rnacentral:lncRNA from 1 species
AAGAUAUUACUGAUUUAUGUCCACAAAAAUGGCAGCUACUUCACUCUCACUGAGUUUUGGGCUUACAUCAGCGGCGAACACUUUGAAUAGGCAUUCUGCAUUUCCUUUACACAACAUUAUCACAUGCUCAUCAUCAGAAAACACAUCCCCUAAUCAAGAAAGUAAUAAAAUCCCAUCUCAGUUAUUUAGUCAUAUUUGCAUUUCAGCCGUUUUCUUUGAGCUAAAAUUUUAUUAAUGUUUAACAAAAAAGAUUAAAAUAUUUGUUUCAGAAAGUUUCAUGAGGAGAGCAUUUCUUUUGGGAGUAGGAGAUCUUUCAUUGAACUUAAUACCCGCUAGUUCCCUUCUGGCUCAAGGUACUCUGUUAGACUGUUACUAAAAUUUGGAUUGUUUUUAUCUACUUGGAGAAUAACACUUUAUAAUCAAAUGGUGUCUGCAGGAGUACCGGAAAACUAUGAAAUCUUUGUUGACAAACAAGAUGGCUAUUCAUAUUAUUAUCCAUCAGAUUGGAGGGUAUGUCGCGUUGUAAGAGUUGAUUCUUUUAAAAAGAAAAUUACUCUUCUUUUACUUGGAAACACUUGUUUGUCUAGAACAGGAAUUUGAUUUCAGAGGUCAUGACUCUGCAUUUAAGGAUAGAUAUCUACAACUGCAAAAUGUACGACUAAGCUUUAUACCAACUGAUAAAUCAGAUAUUCAUGAUUUGGGGCCAAUGGAAGAGGUAAGUGGUACUAUUCAUCCAUGUAGAUGCAUUUAGCUAUUCUUUGUCACAUCAACUUAUUUUCUUUUUUCUGAUUCUCCCUUACUUCGAAAUUGAUUGCAAAAGGUUGUGCCGGAUCUGGUAAAACAUGUUUACUCUGCACCUAAUCAGGUGGCAAACAUAAUGGAAAUGAAGGAGGUAUGAUCUUUCUCAUAUCUCUAUUGUUUUGAUACACAGCUCGGUUUCCACUAGUCACACUAAUUUUUCAAAAUAAUGUAGAGAAGUACGGAUGGGAAAAACUAUUUCACCUUUGAAUAUGUAUUGACAUCUCCAAAUUUUUCUCGGGCAGCAUUUGCUACCAUAGCAAUUGGAAAUGGUAAGUAGUCCGG